rnacentral:misc_RNA from 1 species
AGAUUUAUGAAGGGUGGAGGUGGUUUAUGCAAUUAGGGUUUUGUAACGGUUGGUGGUGAUGUUGGCAGCCAUGGCAGUGAUAGUGGUGGGGUUGAAAAGGGAAAAUGGAUUAUGGUAUUUUUUUAGGUGGGGAGAGAGAUAGAGAUGGAAGAGGAGGAGGGGGAGGAGGAGGAAGAAGAGGUUUUUUGAUGACGAUGAGCAGUGGACUGUUGAU